AGCCUCCCUGAGGCCAAAGGGAGGGAACAGAGACCCCGUCAAUCGGUGGGAGGAGCAUCUGCGACCGUCCGGAGCGUGGAAUGGCGCGUACUGUGGCAGCCAUCUUUGUAGCUGAUAUGAUCGGCCACCACCACAACCACAGCACAGAGGUGACAACAGCAAUGGUCGGAGAAGGGACAAAUGUCUGCUAAGCGUGUACCGUGUCAGACCCUGAGGGAGCCCCCACUCUUCUCUCCCACAUCGGGCUCAUCAGCUCCUCUGGACAUCAGGUACAAACCCUAGGACAUCUCAUCAGAAGCAAUGGUAAUAAAAGAGAAAGAGACGAAGAGAGAGAUGGAGACAGAGAGACAGAGAAUUCAUCAAGAAAGCGAGGAAACUGAGGCUUAGCAACAGGCGUGGUGUCCUUUAUUUCCCACUGCCUUGGUUAAUGUCCUGUCAAUUUCACCAGCCCCGGGACCUGCUAAAGUCUAGGCAUCUGCGUGCCUGGGGACUCACCUUGGUUCACAUGGAGAGACCUGAUGUUCCAGGUGACCAGGGGGCUCACUCCCAUCCCCGGCAGGUCCUCUCUGGCCACCAAGUUCCAAAUAGAAUUGGUUGGCUGCAGUUAAGCCACGUCGGACGCCUUCA